UUUCAUUCUUCAUUCAUGCCCCAUUCUAACAUUUUAAAAAUUAAUAUAAAAAACACUUCAAGUAUCCAAAGGGCCAUCCACAUCUGCAAAUCCCAUGCCUUGGUUUCAGAAAUCCUACAUUAGCCUAUUCCUGCUUUUCUCUACUACUAUUAAACAAGCAAACAUAUUCAUCACUAAUCAUCACUAAGUACACCCAACCUAACAUACACACAACAACACGAAGCAAUUACAGCCGCAUGAUCAGAGCCACUUAAUUUAAUCUAACCAUUAAAAUUAUACUAACCCUCAGCCAGAAUUGCGUUAGCAAUUUGCCCAAGCGGACGAAAACUCUGCCGAACCAAACAUUCCGUGCUCCACUCCGAUACAUCGCUCUGUUAAUCCAAGGAAAAAAAAUCACAACCCGAUGUCAAACAGAUACUACCUAAUUGCAGGCGAGUGAUGCGGGCAACACGGGGCGGCGGCGGCGGCAGCUCGAUGCAGGGAGGCGUGGGCUCCGGUGGGGCUGGGCAUGGAUCUAGCGGAUGGCAGCCGGAUCGAAUCGAUGACGUACGGCUCCGGCGAGUCGGAAGGGCGGCGCCGGCGGCUGAGCUCCUCCAUGGACUGCUGCAGUUCCAGGGAGAGAGAGCUUCGAAGGCCUGCCUUUUCGAUCCCGGGCCCCUUCUUCUGGCCCUCUCGAGCACCGACGCCGUUGUCGUUCCCCUUCUUCUUAGACCCCCGGGACGUCCUGCUGCUGCGGUCUGCACCCCGUCCCGGUCUUCGCCCGGCCACUGGGUCUCCUCCCUCCCUUUGAGGUUUUGAAAGGAAGAAGAUAAGUUGAACCAUGGGGAAGAGGAAGGCGGCCGCUAAGCCACCCACUAGGAAGCCGAUGGACAAGGUUGAUAUGGCCUUUUCCUGCCCAUUCUGCAAUCAUGGGAGCAGCUGAUGGACAAGGUUGAUAUGGCCUUUUCCUGCCCAUUCUGCAAUCAUGGGAGCAGCGUUGAAUGCCGGAUUGAUAUGAAAAACCUGACUGGUGAGGCUAAUUGUCAAAUCUGCCAGGAAAGCUUCAGCACCAAUGCAAAUGGAGGCUCUGACGAGUCGGAUGGACGGCGGCGGCAGCUGAGCUUCUCCAUGGCCUGCUGCAGUUCCAGGGAGAGAGCUUUGAAGGUGAGAAGGAGAUAUAGAAGAACAGAAAGAAGGGAGAAGAGGAAGGGCAGGGGUGUGGCGGCCUUGACUGUGAACCUCCGGUUGCGACGGUCUCCGGCGAGAGGCGGCGCAUGGCAUCGACGCGAGCCUACGGGGUGGCGGCAGCGGCGGCCGCUGCAGGAGCUCGGGCGUUUGGAUGCGUUUGGAUCGCAGGCCAAAGGUUAUGCAUAUUAGGUACGUUUUGAAUCACUAUCAAAACCUGUCCAUACAAAAUGUUGCCAUGAUUUAUCCUGCUGUUGGCUAGAUCUGAAGUAUUACCUAUCAAAUCAAUGAUUCUUUCUGUUUUGAGGCCACAUGCAUGUUGAUUCUGUCAACACACUGGGAUCCAUGUAGAUAGAACCAUAAGAAGAGGACUGGUCAUCUGAUCAUUGUAGGCCUUCAACGCCCAUUUAGGAAUUAGAACACACAUAUAUUAUUUGGAUCUCUGGCCAAUGAUUUGAGGAGCUAGCAUCAGAUGAUCUAUCGUGGCGUAGUUCUCGGUGAGUACAACCGCGCUCUACUCUAUCGUAUUUUUCUACUCUAGGCACAACAAUCGUGGGGUCAAUGUGUUGCUUGUUUUGUUUGGGUGUUUUCUCCGUGUGGCACUGGUUGGGAUUCAGAAGAGGUGCGGUGGGGGGCUUUUUCUCCUGUAGGUGAACACUCUGAUCCCUUUUUAUUGGACCAGGUAUGCCAGAUUCUGCUCUUGCAAUCGAGUUUUUGCUACCCUUCAUUUCCUUUAGCUGGAUCACGGGAUCAGUGUGGUUCUAAACUUUGUAUAAACUUUUGGAUUUGUGAGCAAAAUGAGAUGGUGGUUUGAUUACCUCCCAGCCUGUACACCCGCACACACUUAACAGCUCGAUGAGGUGGACGGUGGCGAAUUCAGUAGGAAGAUGAUCCCGGUGGAGGAGAUCCUGACGAUCAACGUGAAGUCGGGGUGGAAGGAGGGCAUGAAGGACACCUUCCCAAAAGGAAUGAUCUUAUUUUGCUGGUAUAUAAUUAUGUAUUUUGAAAAGUUACUGGGUGUACUUUUUAUAUUAUCACUAUAAUAUUUGAAGUUAUAUUUCUAUAUAUUUCACUUUUCACAUGAGCUGAGGCACAAUUUUAUUUGAAAAUAAGUUGUAAACUGAAAUUUCUGUAUAGAUUGAAUGAGGUUUCAUGUGUCUGAAUUGCAUUUUAGGUCAAAUAAGUUUGCUAGGUGCAGAGGAGCUAUGAGAAAAGUUGUUCAAAAACUGAAUGAACUUAUUUUUUUCGUUCAGUAAUGGAGAUUGAUCAUGUACUCCCGGCGUCCCAAAAUAAGAGUCUCAACUUUGUACUAAUUUUAGUACAAAAUUGUACUAAUUUUAGUAAGACACUUAUUCUGGGUCGGAGGGGGUAUUAGAAUGUGUCAAGUUCUGCAAGUUUUGUGUUCUCCUAUUGAUAGCUUCUAUGAUUUCUGAGUUUGUUUUCUUCAUUCUUCAUCCAUUUGCUUUGUAGUUAACUCCUCCUUGUUCUUCAGAGUUAACGCAGUAGAUGGUAUGGACACAUCAAAAAGGAAAUAACAAUACUUCCAAUACUAAAAGAGUUAUAGUUGCUGUAGAUGUCCACCUUGGUCAGGUCGGUGCCGGUCGAGCAGGAUAAACCUCCUGGCCAAGCCAGUGGCGUCAGCAAGGCGGACGACUGCAGUGGUGUGGAGGUGCGAUCUGUCAGGUAUCUCACUCUGUUUGUGGUCAACUUUUUUGGUUCAUCAAUUCAAAACAAGCUUGAAGAGGUGAAGAUACUGGCGCGAAGGAACUAUGAGAUGAGAACAUGCUGAGAACAGUUCUAUUGAUGAUCAAUUGACAACUGUAAUUAUAUUCUAAUGCAGUUGCUGCAAGCUUUCUUUUUUAUUUAAUAUCUUUCAUUGCGACAACCUCUAAGAUUUUCAGCCAUCACUUUAUACGUGCUAUAGGGAGCUAAUUCCUGAGUUAUUGGUGUUGUCCCUUUUACUUUUCUACUCAUACAUUGUUGCUAAUUUGGAGUAAGUACAGUAAAUCUACCGACUUGGAGGUCUUUAUUAUGUAGUCGAGUUUCUUCAUGCUUCUACUGACUUUCGUGUUGUCCAUGUUUCUCUUCUAUUUCCAUCAUGGAGAAGAUAAGAUGUUGGUUUGGACAAUAUUCUGAUGCUGGUUAGUUAGAGUAGGAUAUUCUGAUGUUGGUUGAUCGUUUCCAGGCUAAGGUUCACUGGAAAAUAUAUAUUGGAACUACCAGCUAUGAUGCUAGACGAUGCUAAUGGUUUACUCCGUUUGGUGCAAGAUGUGCCAAUCAGGGUGCUUGAUCUACAAGAUUACAGAUACAUUCUGUUCCAUCUUCACAUCGAUUGCCAAGUCCUGAUACAUAUUCUUGUCAUGUCUGGGCCAAACUGAAUGCAGAUGUUGAGGUUGAUGAUACUACAGCGGCUCGAUCAUUGUCUCUUCGUAGGCAUUCAAGCAUGUUUUUGAAAAGGAAAAAGAAUCACGCGAAGCCUAAACAUGACAUGGUUACGGAUGUGUAAUGGACAGCCAUGAGUUCGUUGUUGCCUGUGUUUCCUUGUUGCUAGGGGUGCCUAUGGUCACAGAUAAACCGAACUAAGAAUGACACACUAUAUGUCUAUACCAUAUACUUUCUCAGCUGAAUCAUAACAUGUGUCUUGUAGAGACGUGCAAGGCUACUAGUUUUAUCUUACGGUACAUUGUUCCAAAGAGGCCUAGGUCUAGAAGUGUGCAACCUAAUUAAUACGCAGCUAGCUGCCUGAUUUUCCUUAGAUAAAGAAUCAAUAUUUAGGAUCACCGAGUUAGAAAUAGGGCCCGCAUUCCAAACAUGCCCACACUGUAAAUAUUGCAACCUAUCUUUCAUUAACGAAUAGAUGGCCGAU